UGAGAUGUGAAGAGCGCCUCUGCCCGGCCGC
rnacentral:piRNA from 1 species